rnacentral:lncRNA from 1 species
AUUGAACUGAAUUCUUUAUUUUUUUAACAGAUAGAGUCUCACUAUGUUGCCCAGGCUGGAGUGCAGUGACUAUUCACAAGUUCAAUUAUAGUAAGUUGCAGCCUCAAACUUCUGGGAUCAAGUGAUCCUCCCACCUCAGCCUCCCAAGUAGCUGGGACUACAGGUGUAUGCUACUGCAUCUGGCCUGAAUGAAUUCUUGAGUGUGUGUUCCUGGUUGGGAUGGAGGUGAAUUUGGCAUGGUGAUCAGACAUAUGUAAAUGUGUUUUGCGACAAGCAAGUACAAUAAAAUGGUAAUUGGCAAACAACAGAGACCCCAGGCUGGAAUGUCAGAAAGUCUGCUGCAACUUCUCCAUAGCGUGUGUAGCAGGUAUUCCACAGGCCUCUUCGAAGUCUUCUCUUUAUCGUGUUCAGAUGAUACCCUGCAGAAAAACUUAAUCAAACAUGUGAUCAAAGUUUCAAAAAGAAGUAAAAGCAUGUCCUCAUCUCUACUCCUGAUGUAUUAAACUUUCAGUCUAAUGAAACAUUAGAAUUUACAUGGAUAGACUCUGCAACAUAAGAGGGUAUUUCAAAUUCCAAUUCCUGUUAUCACAUAAAAUAUUUGAAUAUUAUAUUCCUUAUCUUUUGUUCGUUAACUUUAAAUAUAUUUUGGGAAUGGAUGGAGAGGAUUAUUGAGAUAAGUUAUGUAAACUGAAGUUUAGAUGAUCUUGAUUUUUAAAUUUAUUAUUCUAAAUGGAAGUGAUAGCAUGAUUUUAAAAGAAAAAGACCUGUGAAUCUAAAAUAAUAUUAAAUAUGUUUAUAUUACAUGUAUACAACCACAGAAUAACUCUAUAAUAUACCUAAUUAAAGAGGUAAUUAGAAAAAGGUAUCCUGUAAUAAAAAUACAGUACCCUGUGACAGCAUCAUACUUUCCCCUUAAUUAUAUUAUGUAGAUGCUAUGAUAGUCACAAAUUAGCUAAUAAUAGAAAUCCUUUGAUUUAUUUUCAGUACAUCUAUAUGUUUCUCAACAGCACUCUCAGCAAAGCACCAUUAUUACUUUAUUAAAUACUACUUUUGCCUACUUGAGCUUAACAAACAAAUCUAAUGGUAGGAAAGAAUUUAAUUUCAGAGCUGAAUGAUAAUGUUAGGCACUGUUAAUUCACACAAUUCAAAGUUAAUUAUGUUUGGCAAAAUUAGGAGUGUGGUAAUUUUGUUCUGUUGAGCUAUAGCUUUUAUGAAAUUUUAUAUUCUGAUUAAACAAACCCCAUUGACAAGAAUAUAUAACAUAUUGUAAUAUUUACA